rnacentral:rRNA from 1 species
AAUCAACGCUGGCGGCGUGCCUCAGACAUGCAAGUCGAACGAUUAAAGCUCUCUUCGGAGAGUGCAUAGAGUGGCGCACGGGUGAGUAACACGUAAGUAAUCUACCCUCGAGUGGGGAAUAACGUCCGGAAACGGACGCUAAUACCGCAUAAUGCAGCGGCACCGCAAGGUGACAGUUGUUAAAGAUUUAUCGCUUGAGGAGGAGCUUGCGGCAGAUUAGCUAGUUGGUAAGGUAAUGGCUUACCAAGGCUACGAUCUGUAACCGGUCUUAGAGGACGGUCGGUCACACUGACACUGAAUAACGGGUCAGACUCCUACGGGAGGCAGCAGUCGGGAAUUUUGGGCAAUGGGCGAAAGCCUGACCCAGCAACGCCGCGUGAAGGAUGAAGUAUUCGGUAUGUAAACUUCGAAAGAAUAGGAAGAAUAAAUGACGGUACUAUUUAUAAGGUCCGGCUAACUACGUG